CGGAAGGCCCUUCGGGGUACUCGAGUGGCGAACGGGUGAGUAACACGUGGGUGAUCUGCCCUGCACUUUGGGAUAAGCCUGGGAAACUGGGUCUAAUACCGAAUAGGACCACGCGCUUCAUGGUGUGUGGUGGAAAGCUUUUGCGGUGUGGGAUGGGCCCGCGGCCUAUCAGCUUGUUGGUGGGGUAAUGGCCUACCAAGGCGACGACGGGUAGCCGGCCUGAGAGGGUGACCGGCCACACUGGGACUGAGAUACGGCCCAGACUCCUACGGGAGGCAGCAGUGGGGAAUAUUGCACAAUGGGCGCAAGCCUGAUGCAGCGACGCCGCGUGAGGGAUGACGGCCUUCGGGUUGUAAACCUCUUUCAAUAGGGACGAANCGCAAGUGACGGUACCUAUAGAAGAAGCACCGGCCAACUACGUGCCAGCAGCCGCGGUAAUACGUAGGGUGCGAGCGUUGUCCGGAAUUACUGGGCGUAAAGAGCUCGUAGGUGGUUUGUCGCGUUGUUCGUGAAAACUCACAGCUUAACUGUGGGCGUGCGGGCGAUACGGGCAGACUAGAGUACUGCAGGGGAGACUGGAAUUCCUGGUGUAGCGGUGGAAUGCGCAGAUAUCAGGAGGAACACCGGUGGCGAAGGCGGGUCUCUGGGCAGUAACUGACGCUGAGGAGCGAAAGCGUGGGGAGCGAACAGGAUUAGAUACCCUGGUAGUCCACGCCGUAAACGGUGGGUACUAGGUGUGGGUUCCUUCCUUGGGAUCCGUGCCGUANCUAACGCAUUAAGUACCCCGCCUGGGGAGUACGGCCGCAAGGNUAAAACUCAAAGGNNNNGACGGGGGCCGCACAAGCGGCNGANCAUGUGGAUUAAUUCGAUGCAACGCGAANAACCUUACCUGGGUUUGACAUGCACANGANGCCGGCAGANNUGUCGGUUCCNUUGUGGCCUGUGUGCAGGUGGUGCAUGGCNUGUCGUCANCUCGUGUNNGANAUGUUGGGUUAANUCCCGNAACGAGCGCAACCCUUGNNCUAUGUUGCCAGCGGGUUAUGCCGGG
rnacentral:rRNA from 1 species